rnacentral:tRNA from 1 species
CCCUGACAGCCCAGUUGGUAAAGAAUCUGCCUGCAAUGCAGAAGACCCAGGUUCGAUUCCUGGGUCAGGAA